rnacentral:rRNA from 1 species
GACGAACGCUGGCGGCGUGCCUAACACAUGCAAGUCGUACGGUAAGGCCCUUUCGGGGGUACACGAGUGGCGAACGGGUGAGUAACACGCGAGUAACCUGCCCACAACUUUGGGAUAACGCUAGGAAACUGGUGCUAAUACUGGAUAUGUGCUCCUGCUGCAUGGUGGGGGUUGGAAAGCUCCGGCGGUUGUGGAUGGACUCGCGGCCUAUCAGCUUGUUGGUGGGGUAGUGGCCUACCAAGGCGGCGGCGAGUAGCCGGCCUGAGAGGGUGACCGGCCACAGUGAGACUGAGAUACGGCCCAGACUCCUACGGGUGGCAGCGGUGGGAGAUGUUGCUCUAGGAGCGCAAGCCUGAUGCAGCUACAGCACUGGCGGGAUAGCGACCUACGGGUUGUGAUCCGCUUUCAGCAUUGACGAGGCUUUUAAUGACGGUACCUGCAGAAGAAGCACCGGCUAACUACGUG